GCCAGCAUAGUGAAGUGGUUUAAGGAUUGGACUACAACUCCAGACUCCAGGAUUCAAUUCCCCGUUCGGCCA